UACGGGGGGGGCAAGCGUUGUUCGGAAUUACUGGGCGUAAAGGGCGCGUAGGCGGCCUUCUAAGUCGGACGUGAAAUCCCUCGGCUCAACCGAGGAACUGCGUCCGAUACUGAAAGGCUUGAAUCCGGGAGAGGGAUGUGGAAUUCCAGGUGUAGCGGUGAAAUGCGUAGAUAUCUGGAGGAACACCGGUGGCGAAGGCGGCAUCCUGGACCGGUAUUGACGCUGAGGAGCGAAAGCCAGGGGAGCAAACGGG
rnacentral:rRNA from 1 species